rnacentral:rRNA from 1 species
CCUACGGGUGGCAGCAGUGGGGAAUAUUGCGCAAUGGAGGAAACUCUGACCCAGCAAUGCCGCGUGAGUGAUGAAGGUAAUUUUAUUGUAACGCUCUUUUCUUUGGGAAGAAUAAAUGACUGUACCAAUGGAAUAAGCCCCGGCUAACUACGUGCCAGCAGCCGCUGUUAGAUGUAGGGGGCAAGCGUUGUUCGGAAUUACUGGGCGUAAAGGGUGUGUAGGGGGGUUGAUAAGUUAUAUGUGUAAUACCCAGGGCUUAACGCGGGUGCUGCAUCUAAAACUGUUCGACUUGAGUACUGGAGAGGAUAGUGGAAUUCCUAGUGUAGCGGUGGAAUGCGUAGAUAGUAGGAGGAACAUCAGUGGCGAAGGCGACUAACUGGACAGUAACUGACACUGAGGCUCGAAAGCGUGGGGAGCAAACAGGAUUAGAUACCCGAGUAGUC